rnacentral:rRNA from 1 species
GACGAACGCUGGCGGCGUGCUUAACACAUGCAAGUCGAGCGGUAAGGCCCUUCGGGGUACACGAGCGGCGAACGGGUGAGUAACACGUGAGUAAUCUGCCCUUCACUUCGGGAUAGCUUCGGGAAACCGAAAUUAAUACCGGAUAUGAACGCGUCCUGCAUGGGGUGUGUUGGAAAGUUUUUUCGGUGGAGGAUGUGCCCGCGGCCCAUUAGCUAGUUGGUAGGGUAAUGGCCUACCAAGGCGACGAUGGGUAGCUGGUCUGAGAGGAUGAUCAGCCACGCUGGAACUGAGACACGGUCCAGACUCCUACGGGAGGCAGCAGUGGGGAAUUUUGCGCAAUGGGCGAAAGCCUGACGCAGCAAUGCCGCGUGAGUGAUGAGGGCCUUCGGGUCGUAAAGCUCUGUCAGAGGGGAAGAACCUCCUGCCGGUUAAUACCCGGCGGGCCUGACGGUACCCUCAAAGGAAGCACCGGCUAACUCCGUGCCAGCAGCCGCAGUAAUAC